GCUGACGCCAAGAACGUGGGACUCUGUUCAGGCCUCCUGUGUGAGUGGUAGAGACCCAAGAAUUUGGGCAGUCUUCUGCUGCUUUCCCAGGCACGUUAGCAGGGAGCUGAAUUGGAACUGGAGAAGCUGAGACUUGAACCUAUGUUUCAAUAUGAAAUGCAGUAUUUGUAAGCAGUGACUUAACCUGCUGUGCCACAGCACCAGUCCUUCUUCUGGUUAUCCUUUAGUGUUGAGUUUUAGUUUAAUUUAAUUGCACUGUGAUCAGAGAUGAUGUUGUAUGUAAUUUUGAUCUCUAAAAAAAUGAGUUUUUUUAAAAAAGAUUUAUUUAUUAGUUUUGAAAGUUAAGAGUCAUGGGGCCAUCUUUGCGCUGUAUUGGGUAAAGCUGUAGCCUGCAAUGCUGGCAUCCCAUAUGGCUGCUCCACUUCCAAUCCAGCUCCAUAAAAGUGUUCCUGGGAAAACAGCAGAAGAUGGUCCAAGUGCUUGGGCACCUGCACCCAUGUGGGGGACCCGGAAGAAGCUCCUGGCUCCUGGCUUUGAACCAGGUCUGCUCCCUGUUGAGGCCAUUUGGGGAGAGAACCAGCAGAUGGAAGAUCUCUCUCUCUCUGUAUCUCCCUCCCUCUCUUUGUAGUUCUGCCUUUCAAAUAAAUAAACAAGUCUUUAAAAAAAAAAAAGUUACGGAGAGGGAAGUCUUCUAUCUGCUGGUUCAAUCCCCAGAUGGCUGGGGCCAGCACUGGGCUGGGCCAAAGCCAGGGGCUGGGAGCUUCAUCCUGGUCUCCCAUGUGGGUGGCAGGGAUCCAAGCACUUGGGCCAUCUUCUGCUCUUCCCAGUCCAUUAGCAGGGAGCUGGAUUGGAAGUGGAGCUGCUGACAUACUGGAGGUCAUAUGGGAUGCCAGCAUCACAGGCAGUGGCUUAACCCGCUAGGCCGCAACACUGGGCUGAGAUUUUCUUUUUAAGAUUGAUUUAUUUAUUUGAAAGGCAGAACCACAGAGAGGCAGAGAGAGCUGGGAACCAGGAAUUCAGCUGGGUCUCCCAUGUGAGUGACAGGAACACAAUUACAUGAGCCUUCAUGGCUGCCUCCCUGGGUCUGCAUUAGUGGGAAGCUGAAAUCAGGAACUGGAGCCAGGCAUCAAACCCAGGCGCUGCAAUGUGGGAUUCAGGCCUUUUAGUCCGUGUCUGCACUGCUAGGUCCACUGCCCACCUCCUACCAUCUGUAUAUCCCUGUCUCUAUCUCUAUCUAUAUCUCUAUAAAUCUCUUCUGAGAGGCACUCCAGUUUGGGAUGCAGGCAUUUUAAGUGGUGUCUUAAUUGCUAGGCCAAACACCUAUUGCUAGGCCCCCUACUAUCUAUCUGUGUAUGUAUGUAUUUAUUGUGUUCCAAGAGAGACCUCUCCCAUCUGCUGCUUCACUCCCCAAAUGCCCGUGAUGGCCUGGAUGAGGCCAGGUUGAAGCAUGGAGCUGUGAGCUCACUCCGUGUCCCUGCCAUUCAGAGUUACACAGAGAGAGGAGAGGCAGAGAGAGAGAGAGCAAGAGAGAAAGGUCUUCCAUCCGAUGGUUCACUUCCCAAUUGGCCGCAAUGGCCAGAGCUGCGCCGAUCCAAAGCCAGGAGCCAAGAGCGUUCUCCAGGUCUCCCACUCAGGUGCAGGGGCCCAAGGAGUUGGGCCAUCCUCCACUGCUUUCCUAGGCCAUAGCAGAGAGCUAGAUCGGAAGUGGAGCAGCUGGUACUAGAACCGGUGACCAUAUGGGAUGCCAGUGCUUUGGGCCGGGGCGUUAACCUGCUGCACCACAGUGCUGGCCCCUGUUUGUGUCUUGUAAAAAGAGCAUAUAGGUUCCUUCUUAUGUUUCUUCUUUAGACCAGUGGCUCUCAACUAAGGGAUGUGAUAGGGUGCACAGGGCAAUAUGUGGAGACAUGUGGCUUUCUCAACUGGGUGGAAUGGUGUCCUAGGCACCUAAUGUGUGAAGACCAGGAAUAUUGAUUAAGAUAGCCCAACAACAAAGAGUUAUGUGCUGUAAAAUGGAUGGAGCAUAUACCUGCGCAUGGGAUGGAAAAGACCUGCAAAGUCAUUUGGUUUAUCUCUGACA